rnacentral:rRNA from 1 species
GAUGAACGCUGGCGGCGUGCCUAAUACAUGCAAGUAGAACGCUGAAGCUUGGUGCUUGCACCGAGCGGAUGAGUUGCGAACGGGUGAGUAACGCGUAGGUAACCUGCCUGGUAGCGGGGGAUAACUAUUGGAAACGAUAGCUAAUACCGCAUGACAACAGUUAUUGCAUGAUAACUGUUUAAAAGGGGCAACUGCUCCACUACCAGAUGGACCUGCGUUGUAUUAGCUAGUAGGUGAGGUAACGGCUCACCUAGGCGACGAUACAUAGCCGACCUGAGAGGGUGAUCGGCCACACUGGGACUGAGACACGGCCCAGACUCCUACGGGAGGCAGCAGUAGGGAAUCUUCGGCAAUGGGGGCAACCCUGACCGAGCAACGCCGCGUGAGUGGAGAAGGUUUUCGGAUCGUAAAGCUCUGUUGUAAGAGAAGAACGAGUGUGAGAGUGGAAAGUUCACACUG